AAUGGGCGCAAGCCUGAUCCAGCCACGCCGCGUGAGUGAUGAAGGCCUUCGGGUCGUAAAGCUCUGUGGGGAGGGACGAACCGCUGCCGGCUAAUACCCGGCAGCAUGACGGUACCUCCUUAGCAAGCACCGGCUAACUUCGUGCCAGCAGCCGCGGUAAUACGAAGGGUGCAAACGUUGCUCGGAAUUAUUGGGCGUAAAGCGCACGUAGGCGGCUUAGCAAGUCGGAAGUGAAAUCCCUCGGCUCAACCAAGGAAGUGCUUUCGAAACUGCUGAGCUUGAGUACUUAAGAGGAUCGCGGAAUUCCCGGUGUAGAGGUGAAAUUCGUAGAUAUCGGGAGGAACACCAGUGGCGAAGGCGGCGAUCUGGGAAGAUACUGACGCUGAGGUGCGAAAGCGUGGGGAGCAAA
rnacentral:rRNA from 1 species